rnacentral:rRNA from 1 species
GACGAACGCUGGCGGCGUGCUUAACACAUGCAAGUCGAACGGAAAGGCCCUGCUUUUGUGGGGUGCUCGAGUGGCGAACGGGUGAGUAACACGUGAGUAACCUGCCCUUGACUUUGGGAUAACUUCAGGAAACUGGGGCUAAUACCGGAUAGGAGCUCCUGCUGCAUGGUGGGGGUUGGAAAGUUUCGGCGGUUGGGGAUGGACUCGCGGCUUAUCGGCUUGUUGGUGGGGUAGUGGCUUACCAAGGCUUUGACGGGUAGCCGGCCUGAGAGGGUGACCGGGCACAAGGGGGCUAGGGGAGGGGCCAGUAGUGAACCGGGGGCAAGGGGGGGGAAACUGUCGGAAAGGGGCGGAGGGCGUGAGGAAGAUCCCCGGAGCGGGAAACUCGGCUUUUGGGUUGGAACACAUGUUCGCGUGGCAGGAAGCGUGGGGACGGGAAAUGGUGAAAAAACCACGGCUAACUACGUG